UACAGAGGGUGCGAGCGUUGUCCGGAAUCACUGGGCGUAAAGGGCGCGUAGGUGGCGCCGCAAGUCCAUGGUGAAAGCUCGAUGCUCAACAUCGAGUCGGCCACGGAGACUGCGGGGCUCGAGCACUGUAGGGGCAGAUGGAAUUCCGGGUGUAGCGGUGGAAUGCGUAGAGAUCCGGAAGAACACCGGUGGCGAAGGCGGUCUGCUGGGCAGUUGCUGACACUGGAGGCGCGACAGCGUGGGGAGCAAACAGGG
rnacentral:rRNA from 1 species